UACGUAGGUGGCGAGCGUUGUCCGGAUUUACUGGGCGUAAAGGGAGCGUAGGCGGACUUUUAAGUGAGAUGUGAAAUACCCGGGCUCAACUUGGGUGCUGCAUUUCAAACUGGAAGUCUAGAGUGCAGGAGAGGAGAAUGGAAUUCCUAGUGUAGCGGUGAAAUGCGUAGAGAUUAGGAAGAACACCAGUGGCGAAGGCGAUUCUCUGGACUGUAACUGACGCUGAGGCUCGAAAGCGUGGGUAGCAAACAGGAUUAGAUACCCGCGUA
rnacentral:rRNA from 1 species